rnacentral:rRNA from 1 species
GAUUGAACGCUGGCGGCAGGCCUAACACAUGCAAGUCGAGCGGUAGAGAGAAGCUUGCUUCUCUUGAGAGCGGCGGACGGGUGAGUAAUGCCUAGGAAUCUGCCUAGUGGUGGGGGAUAACGUUCGGAAACGGACGCUAAUACCGCAUACGUCCUACGGGAGAAAGCGGGGGACCUUCGGGCCUCGCGCCAUUAGAUGAGCCUAGGUCGGAUUAGCUAGUUGGUGAGGUAAUGGCUCACCAAGGCUACGAUCCGUAACUGGUCUGAGAGGAUGAUCAGUCACACUGGAACUGAGACACGGUCCAGACUCCUACGGGAGGCAGCAGUGGGGAAUAUUGGACAAUGGGCGAAAGCCUGAUCCAGCCAUGCCGCGUGUGUGAAGAAGGUCUUCGGAUUGUAAAGCACUUUAAGUUGGGAGGAAGGGUGGUAACUUAAUACGUUGCUACUUUGACGUUACCGACAGAAUAAGCASC